rnacentral:siRNA from 1 species
AAGGUUCUUUAUAUAGGUGUACA